UACGUAGGGCGCAAGCGUUAUCCGGAAUUAUUGGGCGUAAAGAGCUCGUAGGCGGUCUGUCGCGUCGAUCGUGAAAACUUGGGGCUUAACCCUGAGCUUGCGGUCGAUACGGGCAUGACUAGAGUUCGGCAGGGGAGACUGGAAUUCCUGGUGUAGCGGUGAAAUGCGCCAGAUAUCAGGAGGGACACCGGUGGCGAAGGCGGGUCUCUGGGCCGAUACUGACGCUGAGGAGCGAAAGCGUGGGGAGCGAACAGG
rnacentral:rRNA from 1 species